CUCAGUUGAGCCCUAUCUCUCCUGCUUCUGAGUCAGUGGGGAGAUGCUGGAACGUGGCAGGGAGUCUGGUUAGGACCAUGGCUUGCUGCUGCCUUGGCAGGUGGCCUGCGCCUCUCGGGAACUGAGCCCUUCCUCACUUCCUGGGCUGCAGAGGGAUCUGCACACACAGGCGGAGAAUGAAUGAUAUCAGCCUCCCACCUCACGGUUUUAUUCCAGCCCCUGCUACUACCCCAGAUCCACAGAAACAUCCACGGGAAACAGAAGAAGAAAAAAAUGGAACAAUCUUGAUUCUAUUUUAAACCACAAAGUAGUAUUUCCAUAGCAGAAAGCAAAUAGAAUUUUACAUAAUGCACAGAAUGAAUGCCUCCGAAAAUCAAUAUUUCCAGCUGGAUGUACAAAUUAAAUGAUAAUAUUGAAGAGUGAGAUUAAAACAAUGAUUUAAGAUAG